rnacentral:rRNA from 1 species
AGUGAACGCUGGCGGUAGGCCUAACACAUGCAAGUCGAACGGCAGCACAGGAGAGCUUGCUCUCUGGGUGGCGAGUGGCGGACGGGUGAGGAAUACAUCGGAAUCUACUCUGUCGUGGGGGAUAACGUAGGGAAACUUACGCUAAUACCGCAUACGACCUACGGGUGAAAGCAGGGGAUCUUCGGACCUUACGCGAUUGAAUGAGCCGAUGUCGGAUUAGCUAGUUGGCGGGGUAAAGGCCCACCAAGGCGACGAUCCGUAGCUGGUCUGAGAGGAUGAUCAGCCACACUGGAACUGAGACACGGUCCAGACUCCUACGGGAGGCAGCAGUGGGGAAUAUUGGACAAUGGGCGCAAGCCUGAUCCAGCCAUACCGCGUGGGUGAAGAAGGCCUUCGGGUUGUAAAGCCCUUUUGUUGGGAAAGAAAUCCAGCUGGCUAAUACCCGGUUGGGAUGACGGUACCCAAAGAAUAAGCACCGGCUAACUCCGUGCCAGCAGCCGCUGUAA